rnacentral:rRNA from 1 species
UACGGAGGGUGCGAGCGUUGUCCGGAAUCACUGGGCGUAAAGGGCGCGUAGGUGGCCUGUGGAAGUCUGCGGUGAAAGCCCGGCGCUCAACGCCGGGUCGGCCGUGGAUACUCUCGGGCUCGAGCUUACUAGAGGCAGAUGGAAUUCCGGGUGUAGCGGUGGAAUGCGUAGAGAUCCGGAAGAACACCGGUGGCGAAGGCGGCGAUCUGGGUCGAUACUGACGCUGAGGUGCGAAAGCGUGGGGAGCAAACAGG